GACGAACGCUGGCGGCGUGCUUAACACAUGCAAGUCGAGCGGUAAGGCUCCUUCGGGAGUACACGAGCGGCGAACGGGUGAGUAACACGUGAGUAAUCUGCCCUUCACUUCGGGAUAACCACCGGAAACGGUGGCUAAUACCGAAUACGACCAGUCUUCGCAUGAGGUGCUGGUGGAAAGUCUUUUCGGUGAAGGAUGUGCUCGCGGCCUAUCAGCUUGUUGGUGGGGUAAUGGCCUACCAAGGCUUCGACGGGUAGCCGGCCUGAGAGGGUGACCGGCCACACUGGGACUGAGACACGGCCCAGACUCCUACGGGAGGCAGCAGUGGGGAAUAUUGGACAAUGGGCGAAAGCAUGAUCCAGCAACGCCGCGUGAGGGAUGACGGCCUUCGGGUUGUAAACCUCGUUCAGUACCGACGAAGCGCCCUGUCGGGUGGUGACGGUAGGUACAGAAGAAGGACCGGCCAACUACGUG
rnacentral:rRNA from 1 species